rnacentral:misc_RNA from 1 species
GUAGGUGAACCUGCGGAAGGAUCAUUAUUGAUUUAGCGGACCGAGCGUUAGCGAGGUUCUGCGAUCGUUUAUAUUUAAAACCCACUCUUGAAUGUAUAAAAUUUAUGUAUUAAUGAUAAAAAUAAAGAUCACUUUCAACAACGGAUCUCUUGGCUCUCGCAUCGAUGAAGAACGCAGCAUCUGACUGACUGCACUCGUUAGAAUC